rnacentral:rRNA from 1 species
GCCUUAGUAACGGCGAGUGAAGCGGCAAAAGCUCAAAUUUGAAAUCUGGUACCUUCGGUGCCCGAGUUGUAAUUUGUAGAAGGUAACUUUGGGGCUGGUCCUUGUCUAUGUUCCUUGGAACAGGACGUCAUAGAGGGUGAGAAUCCCGUGUGGCGAGGAUCCCAGUCCUAUGUAAAGUGCUUUCGAAGAGUCGAGUUGUUUGGGAAUGCAGCUCUAAGUGGGUGGUAAAUUCCAUCUAAAGCUAAAUAUUGGCGAGAGACCGAUAGCGAACAAGUACAGUGAUGGAAAGAUGAAAAGAACUUUGAAAAGAGAGUGAAAAAGUACGUGAAAUUGUUGAAAGGGAAGGGCAUUUGAUCAGACAUGGUGUUUUGCGCCCUCUGCUCCUUGUGGGUGGGGGAAUCUCGCAGCUCACUGGGCCAGCAUCAGUUUUGGCGGUAGGAUAAAUCUGCAGGAAUGUAGCUUGCUUCGGCAAGUGUUAUAGCCUGUUGAAAUACUGCCAGCCGGGACUGAGGACUGCGACUUU